rnacentral:rRNA from 1 species
GACGAACGCUGGCGGCGUGCUUAACACAUGCAAGUCGAACGGAAAGGCCCUGCUUUUGUGGGGUACUCGAGUGGCGAACGGGUGAGUAACACGUGAGUAACCUGCCCUUGACUUUGGGAUAACUUCAGGAAACUGGGGCUAAUACCGGAUAGGAGCUCCUGCUGCAUGGUGGGGGUUGGAAAGUUUCGGCGGUUGGGGAUGGACUCGCGGCUUAUCAGCUUGUUGGUGGGGUAGUGGCUUACCAAGGCUUUGACGGGUAGCCGGCCUGAGAGGGUGACCGGCCACAUUGGGACUGAGAUACGGCCCAGACUCCUACGGGAGGCAGCAGUGAGGAAUAUUGCACAAUGGGCGGAAGCCUGAUGCAGCAACGCCGCGUGCGGGAUGACGGCCUUCGGGUUGUAAACCGCUUUCGCCUGUGACGAAGCGUGAGUGACGGUAAUGGGUAAAGAAGCACCGGCUAACUACGUG